GUCUACAGCCAUACCACCCUGAACACACCCGAUCUCAUCUGAUCUCGGGAGCUAAGCAGGGUCAGGCCUGAUUAGUACUUGGAUGAGAGAAAAAGGCAUGUAGACA
rnacentral:rRNA from 1 species